GAAUUAUUUUGAGAAGUUAAUUUUAUAGCUAGUGGUGACUCUUGUUUUAUUUGUCAUGCGAGCAGAAAACUUCCACAAAUGGGAGAAAAUGAAUCAUCAAACUCUUCGAAUCAUAUUGAAAAAACAUGCAAACAUAUUUCAAUUGAAAUUCCAGAGGACUUGGAGACUACCUUUCGGCCAGAGGAAUGUAUCUACAAAGCUCCAGCUGCACUUUGCGAUUCAAACAGAGCUUCCUACACUCCUCGGGUAAUUUCUAUAGGUCCUUUUCACCAUGAUAGUGAAAAACUGAGGCCUAUGGAAAUUCAGAAACAAAGAUAUCUGAAAGAAUUUUGUAAGAGAUUGCGAGGGAAACAAAGGAGCAAGUGCAAGAAUCUUUGAAUGUACUUUUGAGCACCAUUGGAGAUGAAAAAGAUGAAAUCAAACGCUGUUAUGCAGAUAAUACCUUUGAAUUUUCUAGCGAUGAUGAUCAGUUUGUGAAGAUGAUUCUGUUCGAUGCAGUGUUCAUCUUCGAGCUCUUCUUGAAGAAUGAAGAAGAUAUGCGCGAUAACAAACGAUAUCAAGAUGAUUUCAUCAUAGGCAAACCCUGGCUGAGAGCUGCGAUUCAACGGGACUUGAUAUUGCUUGAAAAUCAGCUUCCAUUCUUCAUUCUCGAGAAAUUAUAUAGCCUUGCCAUCGAGGAAACAAAGCCCACUUAUCGUUCUUUUCUGGACCUUUCCUGCCACUACUUUGAGAAGUACGGUAAGAACAAAACCAAGCCAGAUGAAACCAAGCCUUAUAAAGUGUUGCAUUUCACUGAUUUGGUAAGACAUUUUCUAUCCUUCAAGCACCCGCAGUUAAAAUCACCAGAUGGAAAGCAAGUUAAAAAUCUUUAUAGCGCAACCAUGCUGCACCAAGCAGGAAUUAAGUUCAAGGCAUUGCCGGAUGAAUGCUUGCUUGACAUAAGAGCCUGGAAGGAAAAUGAGAAUACAGUCAAGAAAGGUGAGUUACAUAUGCCACCACUUGAAAUCGACAACAGCACCGAAUGUCUCUUCCGAAACCUCAUGGCCUUGGAACAGUGUCAUUAUCCAAGAGAAGAGUUUAUCUGCCGUUAUGUUAAGCUAUUGGAUUUUCUUGUGGACGUUAAAAAGGAUGUGGAUUUGCUCAUUGAAAAUAAGGUUAUUGUUAGCAGGCUUGGUGACAGUAAAGCUGUGGCGGAGCUUAUUAACAAACUUUGCCUAGAAAUAGUAGAAGUUACUUCUGGUUAUGAUGCUCUCUCCCAACUGCUGAAUGAUUACUACGAGAGCUCUUGGAACAAAAACAAGGCAUACUUGGUUAGUGUGUAUUUCCACAAUGUUUGGAUUGGUACUGGAACUGUUAUUGGAUUAAUCAUCCUAGCCAUCACCGUGACGCGGUUUAUCCUAUUCUUUUUCCGCUAGUAUUCUAUGUUUUUGCUACGAAGAAAAGGCUCGAACUCGACAUCCCUGUAAAAGAAGAAGACAUGGAUGCUAGUUGAGCUACAAGCUUCUUGUUGGCUUUCCUCUAAAUAAAUUUGUAUCCCUCUAUGACUCACUGUGUCGCUCCCACUGUUGUGAAUGUGGCCGUGCCUGUAGAAUUUUAGUUUCCCUUGAAGUUAAUAAAUCUUGUCAUUCCUGUUGUAAGGUAACAACAACUAUUAUUGAACUUGAAGGUUUUCAUUAGCAAGGAUGUCAAUGAAUUGCGGUUUGCAUCAUUUCGACAUCUUUAUCGUCAUUAAAUACAACAUGUACGUGAGCAAAAUGUUUGCUCGUCUUUUUCUUCCUUUUCUCUUAGUUGUGUGGACAAAAACAAAAUGGUGCUAACCACCUGGCCUAAGAAAGAUGACCCAACCAGGUAGGAUCUGAAGGGGGGCAGAUGCCAGAUAUACUUUAACAGAGGUGUCGGUUUAGGUGAUCAAUCAAUGAACGCUUAUAUAAAAUAUACGACAAACAAUGCACUUUCACAAGCUCUCGUUCGUUGUUUUCUUGAUUGUUUUGUGUUAAAAAGGAAACAGACCUCUAUGUCAUCCGAGAAACACCGAAUUCAAUGGGCUAUCUGUCAUCCGUUUAAGUCGAAUUUUUGAAUUACAAGAGCUGAUAGAGUCAAGAUAUCAUAACCAUGUCAAGAUAUUUUACUAUCUCUCGUCCCCAAUUUUACAGAAUAUGCAUCCCAAAGGCACCGGAGAAAGUUGUCGUUCUUUCCCUUUCAUGUUUUUUCCCCUUACUUUCCAUGACAAGUAGCCAGCUAAAAGUCGGACCACCUCACUUUAAAAAGAGGCCCUACUUCCUCCGUCUGCAAUGUCUUUUCCCAUUUCAAGUCCCAUCUACUUAGGCCAUGCUUUUCAUGUGUUACUGUGAAAAACUAAUGCAUGACUGCAAUUUGACUUGCGGGGGUAGAUUACUAUUGAAACUAGUUUUUUCAGGAGGAAAGUCUAUCUUUAUUCAUUAUCAAAGUGGCAAUAUAUAUAGCUAUACAGAGGAUAAAAGAAAAGCUAAUACAACGCUAAUCCACAUCAACAUAGAUCAUAGCCAAAGGAAUACGUCAUUCCUUGAUUUCCAGGGAUUAUUAUUAACAAAAAGCUUUCAACAUCUUAGUAACAUUCCCUUUCUUAAAUUGACGAUACUGUCUUCAGUUUACUAUUGGAUCUUCACAAACACCCAAACAAACACCCAGCAAACAUACACCCAGCAAACAUAUGCAGCUUCUAAAAAACAACUCGUGUCAAGGAUUUAGUCAUGAUAUCAGCCAAUUGUUCUUAAGAGCAACAAUGUUGUAGCGUUACUACUCUAUCUGGAGUCAGAUUACGAAGGAAAUUAAAACAAACAUUAAUAUUUUUGCUUCGAUCGUGCAUAAUAGGAUUUCUAGAGAGUUUAAUAGUAUAACUAUUAUCACAGUAUAUCAUCGUAGUCCUAAUAGAGGCAUGAUUAAGUGUUUAUAACAUUCUUCUCAACCACACGGCCUGACAAGCACAAGAGGCAGCAAUAAUAAACUCAGUUUCAGUGGUGGAGAGUGUGAUGAUAUGUUGCUUUUUUUGAUGAACAUGAUAUAGCUCCAACACUUAGCAAAAACAAGAAACCCAAUGUACUUUUCCUAUCCUUGAAAUUAAUCUCCUGCAUAAUCAUUAUUGGUGUAGACAAGAAGCUUUUUAUUACCACAUUGUUUAUAAAAAAUUUCAUAUGUAAGUGUCCCUUUAAUAUAUCAAUAUAAUCUUAACAACUUGGAGGUGGAUUUUUAUAGGAUGUGCUAAAUACCUACUAAGCAAAUUAACAUCAAACAUAAUGUCAGGUUUGGUAGAUGUUAAAUAUUAUUAAACUUCCUCCACUACCAUGCUAGCAGAGUCUGUAAUUAACUUGAAUCUUGGAACAAUAGGAUUAUAUAUUGCAUUACACCUAGCCAUAUUAAAUCGUUCCAACACCUCCUAGGCAUAUUUUUUUUGGCAAAUAAAAAUACCAUCAGCUCGUUGUAGCACUUCUAAACCAAGAAAAUACUGCAUUCUUUCAAGAUCCGUCAUAUCAAAUUCCUUCAUCAAGGAAUGUUUAAAAGAGCUGAACAAAGUCUCAUCAUUUCCAGUAAAGAUGAGAUCAUCUACAUAAAGGCACACAAGCAAUAAGGUACUCCGUGAAGUUUUUUUGAUGAACAAAGUAUAUUCAUAAGGACAUUUCUCAAAUCCUUCUUUUAGAAAAUAGGCUUCAAUGCGGUUGUCCAAGCCCGUAGAGCUUGUUUCAAACCAUACAAAGCUCUUCAUAAGUGUUACAUCUUGUUUUCUGCUCCUUUUACUAUAUAACUAGAAGGUUGCUCAACGUACACCUCCUUAUUUAACUCAUCAUGAAGAAAAGCAUACUUUACAUCUAACUAAAACAUAUACCACCUCUUUUGAGCUAUUAGAGCAAGCACCAGUUGUAUAGUGUCCAUGCGAGCCACAUGGGUAAAGAACUUCGUGUAAUCCAUCUCAUGUUGUUGUGUGUACCUUUUGGCGACAAAGUGAAUCUUGUAUUUGCUGACUUCUCCAUGCUUAUUUGGCUUAAUCUUAUAUAUCGAUUUCACCCUAACUAUUUUUGCACCAUGAGGAAGAUUAGUGAGGUCCCAUGUAUUGUUUUUUUUUUGAAUGGCUUCAAUUUCAGAUUCCAUGGUAUAUCUUUAUUUGGCACUUUGAGUUGCAUCCUUAUAGAAUGAAAGGUUUGCAUCAACAAAUAAAGCAAAAUUAUCUUGAUGAUCCUCAUUAAAGAAGCCCUACCUACUAUCAUAGUCACGUAUCCAUACUGGUGGGUGUUGAGAAUGCCUUUCAACAGGACUAGAAAUAUGAUCAGUGAUUGUAUGUGCGUUGAUUGCUUGAUGCUCCAAAUUCUCCUCUUAAAAGCCAUCAUGAUUAUCAAUACUAAUGGAUCUACUGUCAUUGUUUUCUUCAUGACCUGUCCCACCCAAUUCGUUGUCUAUGGCUUCAUCCUGGAUAGUAUUGUUGCUGUUUUCAUCUAUAUCCCCCCACUCAAGAGAUGUUUGAAUUGUUUCAACAUGAUUUUUACUCUAGGGCCAACUGUCCUUUUCUUUAAAGAUAAUAUCACAACUGAAAAGUAUUUUUUGAUAAAGUAUAUCAUAUAAACAAUAGGCCUUGGACUCCUCGCUAAUGCCUAGCAAAACAUAUUUCAAGCUUUUACUAUCCAAUUUGAUGCAUUUGCUAUCCGGAACAUGAGCAUAAGAAACACAUCCAAACACUCGAAAAUGAGCAAUAAAUGGUUUAGUGCCACUUCAUGCCUCUUCUGGAGUUUUAUUUCGGACUGCAAGCAUUGGACUUCUGUUGAGAAUAUGUACUGCCCAGUUGAUAGCCUUGGGCUAAAAGGUUUUGAGAAUUCAUCUACUGGUGAGCAAACUUUGAACCAAGUUCAUGAUCAUGUGAUUUUUCUUUUCUGUCACUCCAUUUUGCUGAGAAGUGUAAUCCGCGGUGAGUUGACAGUGUAUCUCAUUAAUUGCACAAAACUAAAUGAACUCACUUGAUGUGAAUUCCCCGCCUCAAGAAAAAUUGAAGCCAAUGAAUGGAAGAAAAAUAAUAAUUAAAGGGAUCGGACUAUUGGGUUGACCUGUUAGAAAAUCUAGCCUGACAAAUUGAUAAGAAAUCCUGUAAUAUUAAAUGUUUGUUUUUUCGUUUCAAAAGUGCUUUUAAAAAAAAUUGAAAUUUUUUGAUUUUUUUCUUUGCUUUAAAUUAAUAUUUUUUUGUUGUUUUCAAAUCAUUUCGAUGUGUUGAUAUCAAAAAUAAUUUUUUAAAAAUAAAAAUAUAUAUUAUUUUGAUGCAUUUCUAAGUAAAAAUGCUUUGAAAAACAACCAAAUAGCUUGAUUAAUCUAUUAGACCUGGUUACAUUCUACGGGAUUCGACAAUAGAAAAAAAUUUACCAUGUAAUAUAAAUAUUCUUAGAUCAUAUUGCAUGUCAAUUAAAAUUAAAUUUUUUAUUAAACAAUAUUAAGAACACACAUUCUAUAUCAAUUUUAUAUAUUUAAAAUAAUUAAAUGAAUUGUUAUGAAUACUGAUUUUAAGAGUCUGAAUUAAAGAUUCAAGAAAGACAACAAACUUCAUUAAUCUCCAAGCCAAUUUCUUAGGAUCUUGUGCUCCUCAAGUUUACACGUGUUGAUUUCACAAUCAUAAUUAUUUUUAUAUAACGACAUAUCUAUAUCUAAUUAGUUUUGUUUAAAAUUAUGUCAUAUUCCGAGUGUCUCAACUUAAUGCAAAUACAAUUAUUGUUUUUAGACAUGCACAAGUAUAAAAAAUGCAGUGUUUAGUUCAACAAAUCCAACGGCCAGCGAAUUUCAGUAUAAAAAAACAAGAAAGAAAAUACAAAAUACAGUUAUGGCUGCACCUUUCCUGGACAUGAAAUUAGAGAAAGAUAAGUAGAAAUUGUAUAAUAAUGCUGGACACAAACUCGGCUUGGUUUAUCAUUGUGUUUGGUAAUUUAUUAUGAUUUGUUUUUUAAUUAAAAAUAUAUUAAAAUAAUUUUUUAUUUUUUUAAUUAAUAAAUUAAAAUCAUAAAAAUACAUCAAUUUAAUUUUGUUUAAAUAAAUUUUUUUUAAAAAUUACUUUGCAAGGAAAAAGUUACGAGCACUAAGAUUCGAAAUUUAGCCACUUGAAUUCUGGGUUUAUUUUUAUACACGUUUAAAAGACAUAAAAAUAAUAUUUUUUUAGCUUGAAACAGAAAUAAAUACAUAGAAAAACAAGCACCAGCCGCGAGACAAACCAUUAUAGCAGUAGAGACACGAGAGCACUGCCACAAUAAAUAUACUUGUGCUGGGAUUGUUGAACGAACCAUCAAAAGCCAACUACCAGUAAACCUAACCACAUACGGAUUUUUGUUUUAUCACCUCAAUGAUAAAUACAAUUUAGAUAUUUAUGAUUUCUUUUUGGCUAAACAGCUUAAACCUCUGGGAAUAUUAACCCAUUUAUUAAUUAAAAUCACAUUCUUUUAUCAAAUAUUAAUUAUAUGUUCAUUCAUUAAAAACCUCUAAUGUGUGAAAGUCACUUGUAAACUGAUCUAAACUCUUUAUUUAUUAUUUAUUAUUUAUUUUUAGAUAUCUAUUUUGAGUAUACGAUGAAUGAAAUAUUAAUAGUGGUUGAUUCAAGUAGUUCAACGCUUGCUUCUUUUAAAUAAGGUUUUAAAUUCUAGUCUCGUAGAUAUAAUAUAUCAUUGUCGAGAGAGCUUCUUCUUUUAGUGGAUCAAUUUGGCUUAAUAAAAUUAUUCGGGGCCUAGUGAAUUUCCAGAUCCUAGGAUUUAGAUAAAAAAAAUGAUAAUUGAACUAUUUUUCUAAUUUAUUUCUCACCAUCUAAUUAAAAAAAAAAAAAAAAACAGCAACAAAAAACGCCAGUAAUUUCAGAACUAGCCACCCAAACUUGAUUAAAUCAGAUUUCAUUAAAUCAGGCAUCAAUUGGCAUUGCAAUCAUCCAACUAAAAACGCCAAUAAUUUAUUUCAUUUGUCCCUCUCGGUCAUGGCAGCCCCCUGUAGCAUAGUCAAAAGGUAGCUUUUUUAUGCUCCACAAAAAACCUUCAUCCUUAUCCUGUUCCUUUUACUUUCCCUGCAUAACCUCUUCCCAUCUGGACCCAUGCUAGCGUGACUAAAGAAAAGAGUUGUCCAUGAAUUAUUAGUGAGGUGAAAUGCAUGUUUUUCGAACCAAGCCCCACUGACCUUGAGAUAUUUAGAGUGUGUUUGGUAUUGCGGUAGUUGUUGUGAUUGUGGUUUGAAAAAAGUUGUUUUAUAAAAAGUAUUUUUAGUUGAGGUUGAUUUGAAAAAAUAAGUGUUUGGUUAAAAUUAUGGUUGAAAUUGAGGUUGAAAAAAAAGUAGUUUAAUGUGUUUGGUUUAAAAAAUGUUUUUCCAAUUGAGGUUAUAAAAUAAUUUUAUAAAAUAUAUAUUAAUAUUGAUGGUUUUAAAUUUAAAUAUUGUAAAAUUAAUUACUCCUAUUAUAUCAUGAAAAAAAUAAUACUUUAUAUAAAAUAUUUUUUUAUUAUUCUAUUAAACUAUUUAUAAUUUCAUUACAUACAAAAUUCAUUCGAUAAAAACUACAAAAUUGAUAUUACUGUGCGAGUGAAUUUAAUUCACUCUAUACUAGUUUUUCAAGAAAAAAUUUUGAGAAAAAAAAUAUUGUUCACGUCGCGAACGAAUUUAAUUCUGCAAACUAUUUUUUUUUUUUUAAAAAUAUAAUACAAUUAACACAUUAAAAAAAAAAAAAAACCCUGCAGACAGUGCAAGUGAAUUGCACUGUUCACGUGAACAAUGCAAUUCACUUGUGAACAGUGCAAUGAAUUGCACUGUUCCUUGUUUUUUAUUAGCCGCAUAGAACGAAAAGCAUGUUUUCGUUGCUUUUCCGUUUCAGCGUUUCAAACGCAAAAUUCAUGUGGGUAUCAUGCACAGUAAAUCACUUUUUUUAAUUACCAAACAGCUGCGGAUUGCGUUUUAAAUAAAACGCAGCCGCAACCGCGUAGACAAACGGACUCUUAGUCUGCUGGUCACUGUUUUGAGUCCACUUCAUUAUCAUUACAAAUCAGAUUCAUUUUUUUAUUUUUAUUGGAGGAAUGUAAUUUAAUUAAUUAAAUUUUAAAUUUAUUUUUAGAAAUUAUUAGUUUAACUUCCAAAAAUCUUAAAAUUAUUAAAGACUUGUAUAAUCGUUAAUUUUAAAACUUGUAAAAUUAAUCAAGGUAUAUAUAAAUUAUUUUAGACGUUCACAUUAAUAAAAUAUACAAAAGAUUUAGAUUUUUUUGGUUGGCAGCCACAAUUUUAGUUUUGUUGUGAAAAAUCGUGGUCUCUCAAGUUUUUAUUCAUUCAAAUGUGGUCAUUGAUCUUCAUUUUCUCUUAUUUUCAUCAUCAAAAGUUAUAAUAUUUUUGUCCUAUAUGUUAUUACGCGUCCGAGCAAUCAGAGAUUAUUUCGGGGUUAAAUGAUAGGUCUCUUAGUUUUUGUUAAGAACAAUAUUUAAAAAACAAGAUUAAAAUUGAUAUCGAUAAAAAUCAACUACCUUUCCCCAUCAGUAUUGCUCAAGAUAUGCAUAAAUGUACAUUUUAGUCCCUCAAGAUUUUAAUUAUUUAUACUUGGUCCCUUCUAUUUCUGGAUUUGCUAUAACUGGAUUGUGUGAACAAUUUAAAGGGAUAAUUAUGGGCUAAUAAAAAAAGGCUAAGUGCAAGAAAAGUUCUAAGUUCCAAAAACUAGUUUUAUAGGGGCUAGCUUGGUAUAACUAGUCUAGAUUCAGAAGGAUUCCAAAUUAGACUUAUAAGGUUUUGUUUCGGUUAGAGAAACAAACUAUUUUAAAAAAAUUAAUUUUUAAAUUAAUUUUUUUUGUAUGGUUAUGAUAUUCGGUGAAAUUGAUACCAUGGAUGCGUCACCAUGGAGGCGUCACUGUGGGUCAACCCGCUGUACCCCCAAGGUCUGAUAGCUGUAUAAAAGAGUGCUAUCACCUUACUAAAGAGCAUCACAAAACACAAAAACAGACACAGAGACAGACACAGAGAGAGAGACUGCAUUCAACGUAUCAGUAUAGCUUCGAGGAAAUCUAGAGCCUCCCGCUUCUCAGGUUUAGGUACUAGUUUUUUCUUCUGUUCAUACUCCCUUGUUUCAUUAUUUUUGUUCCAACAACUGAGAACGUUUAAAGCUCCCAAAUCAUUGAAGGUUUCUUAAUUUCAGUGUUACAAAGCUCACAUGGUAUGCAUUAACAAUAAACCUUCGAUCACCUUUAUAACCUGAAAUGGUCAGGGUUUUCGCCUUCCCCCCACUUACUUUGCAAGGGAUGAAGUUCGGUUAUAGUUUUUUAUUUUUUAUUACUCCAUGUAUUCCAAUUAAAGUUUGGUUGCAGUUCUUUUUUUCUAGAUCAAAACACCAAGUUCUAUAAUACUAGGCUGCUAGCUGCUUGUUUGUUUUAGUACCUUCUCCUUCUUCUAGCUAACUUGGGGCAGCUACAUGAUGCUUGAGGAAGAACUCUUGGCUGUGCAUAUACAAUAUCUAGUUCAGAAACCCCCAAUUUCCAUGAUAUAUGGAACAUUAUGCUAUACAAACCCUGAACCGUGUAUUUUACUAGAAAAUCUAAUUUGGCUUGUUUGGUUAGUAGAAGAAACCGAGCAAGCAACUAAUUGCUCCAAACGAUCCACUGUGAUAAGUUUGAGAUGUUAUGAAAGUCAGACUCCUGAUAAAUUUGAUGUUUUGCAUAGUAUUGACUUAUAGACCGGUGUAUAAUUUAUAUAUAGAAUUCGAUGUUUUGAGAUGCCGUGAAAGUUCUUGCUAGCGAGUAUGCAUAGAAUUGUUUUGAGAAGUUAAUUUUAUUGCUAGUGGUGACUCUUGUUUUAUUUGUCAUGCGAGCAGAAAACUUCCACAAAUGGGAGAAAAUGAACCAUCAAACUCUUCGAAUCAUAUUGAAAAAACAUGCAAACAUAUUUCAAUUGAAAUUCCAGGGGACUUAUUUCCAAAGGACUUGGAGACUACCUUUCGGCCAGAGGAAUGUAUCUACAAAGCUCCAGCUGCACUUUGCGAUUCAAACAGAGCUUGCUACACUCCUCGGGUAAUUUCUAUAGGUCCUUUUCACCAUAGUAAUAAAAAACUGAGGCCUAUGAAAAUUCAGAAACAAAGAUAUCUGAAAGAAUUCUGUAAGAGAUUGGGAGGGGAAACAAAGGUGCAAGAAUCUUUGAAAGUACUUUGGAGCACCAUUCAAAGUCUUGAAGAUAAAAUCAAACGCUGUUAUGCAGAUAAUACGUUUGUUAAAUUUUCUAGCAAUGAUGAUAAGUUUGUGAAGAUGAUUCUGUUAGAUGCAGUGUUCAUCUUCGAGCUCUUCUUGAAGAAUGAAGAAGAUACACGCGAUAACAAACGAUAUCAAGAUGAUUUCAUCAUAGGCAAACCCUGGCUGAGAGCUGCGAUUCAACGGGACUUGAUAUUGCUUGGAAAUCAGCUUCCAUUCUUCAUUCUCGAGAAAUUAUAUAGCCUUGCCAUCGAGGAAACAAAGCCCACUUAUAGUUCUUUUCUGGAC
rnacentral:lncRNA from 1 species